AUAAAUCUGGGGAUAUUACAAAAUCCCGCGAUAGGACAGAUUAUCUCGCGAGAUAGUGGUGACGUCACGCGUUCUUCCGGAAGUUCACAUUCAAACACGAGGAGCGAUUACGAGGGAGUUUUGUCUAUAUAUCAUUCAAAAUCUACUGUUGGGAAAAGCAGAACCUCAUCCAAAUAAAAAUAAACAAGCUGUUAAAGGCACUGUGUCCUACACAGACCCUCCAAAAUAUAACCACCCAAAACCCAAGUCAGUUGAAGGUCAACACAAACCAAAUAAAGAUGUGCAUUCUACAAACAUUAAAAAAAGAUCAAGUUUUGUGUCCACCACACUUAGAUGAGGCGUGCCCGACCCCUGACUUUGUCUACCCUACAUUAAGUUGCACACUUCAUGACAGUAAACAUCGGUAUCACAAUGGUGUGAUUGAUCUAUACCCUAGAAUAAGCUGUGACACUAUGAGACGUGAGGUAACACAACGAAAAAAUUACCGGAUGGAGACUACCUGAUUCUUCACCUAUGGCCUCAGCUUCAAAUGCAACAUGUCCAGCAACUGUCUGAGUUGGUGGAUAUUCUGUCAGAGACUGCGUGAACAACGUUAUGAACAGAAUGAUGUCAAAUUGUCUUAUGGCAAAGUUCAAUAUGAGGGGUGGUGGACAUCUGGAAAAGAAGUCUUUUAAAGGCACACCUUUGUAUUAUGUUAUUCAAGAUGCUGUGAAGAGGUGGAGCCCAAAUGCCACAGACUCGGAAAUAGAUGCAGCUAUGGCAGACCACCUCAAACACGCUCCAGGAAGAGCUGGGGGUGGUGGAUACAAAAAAGCCAAACAGCUGUGAUGUGUUAAAGAGAGAGUUCACCAAAAAAGGAAAAUUGUUAUAAUUUUCUUAUCCACAUCUUUCAAACCUGUAUACCUUUAUAUUUUCUGCUGAACACAAAGAUUGAAGAAUGUUUGUAACUUCACAACCAAUUAACUGUCAAUAUUUUUUUUACAAUUGUAGUAAUGGGUUGUGGGAUCUGCUUUGUUAAAAACAUUCUUUCACAUAUCUUUGUGUUCAGCAGAACAUAGAAGGGUAUACAGGUUUGAAACAUGAGAGGGAAUAAAUGACUAAAUAUUAAUUUUUGGGUGAACUAUCCCUUUAUAGAAAGUGUUUUGAAGUUGUUAUUAUAGUUAAAUGGUUAAAAAAAUAAAAAGUGCUAAAUCAGAA